CAACUACAGCAGCAACAAUAACGGCAUCUGCAACAACAACACCUACUCCAACAACAACAGCAACAACAACACAUAUUGCACCAACAACGACUUUGGCAACUCAACCUGUUUAUACUAUCUUAGCAGAUUUCCAAGGAGAACCUUUUUCAGUUGACCUCACUAACCCCAACAGCAGUCAAUUCCAAGAUCUUGAACAGCGAGUUCUAACCACGUGCAAUGUAAUUUACAGAGCAAGAUUUGGUCAUCACUUUGACCGCUGCAUUGUGAUAAAGUUCAGGAGUAUUCCACCCCCAACUCGAGUCGACGGAACUCAAGCAGAUCUGCAGGUUGUGUUCAAUCAGACAACUCCCACUGCAGAACUCCCACUGAAUAGAGUUGUUGCUCAAAUCUUAGUAGAAGCUAUGAAUAAUUCCAACAAUAGCUUCACUGUGAACAUAAAUCCAAACACUG